rnacentral:tRNA from 1 species
AGAAACUUAGGUUAAAUAAAACCAAGAGCCUUCAAAGCCCUAAAUAAAAGAUCAAAACUUCUAGUUUCUG